UCAUAGACACAUAUUUACGGUGGCCCUGAGGUGCAAAACACAACAGCAAAUCAAAGAACACAACACAAAAGGAGAGAACACAACGACAAAAAGAGAAAAUAAAUAGGAAACACAACAUUAACCAUUGUGUUUUCUCUUUUUGUGUUAUGUUUUCUGAUUUGCCUUUGUGUUUUGCACCUCAGGGCCACUGUACAUAUCAGUAAAGUUAAUG